rnacentral:rRNA from 1 species
AGAGACAGCAGCCGCCGCGGAAUACGGAGGGUGCAAGCGUUAUCCGGAUUUAUUGGGUUUAAAGGGUCCGUAGGCGGACUUAUAAGUCAGUGGUGAAAGCCUGUCGCUUAACGAUAGAACUGCCAUUGAUACUGUAAGUCUUGAGUAUAUUUGAGGUAGCUGGAAUAAGUAGUGUAGCGGUGAAAUGCAUAGAUAUUACUUAGAACACCAAUUGCGAAGGCAGGUUACCAAGAUAUAACUGACGCUGAGGGACGAAAGCGUGGGUAGCGAACAGGAUUAGAUACCCCAGUAGUCCCUGUCUCUUAUACC